CCCCUCUCAGGGUCACACCCAGAGAGUUUCCAGUACUCUACCAGUCUCGGCUAUGGGAGGGAGAGUCAAGCAGAGGUCUACCCAUUUCAUUCCUAGCUUGGGCAGUGGCUAGCGAGUGGAAGGCAAUCUGCUCCAAUC
rnacentral:snoRNA from 1 species